GUCUUCUCCUCUUUCCUUUUCAACAAAGCUCCAUUUUUCCUCAACAAUGGCAGAUCUUUGCCACCCCAUUUUUGUGCAAAUACUUUCCUCUCUCAUCUUCAAAGAUCUAGUCAACACAAAUGUCCAAGAAACUUUUAAAGUUUCUGAAAAGAUCAACUGUUAAAAGAUUCGAUUUUCAAUUUGAACGGUCAUAUUGACUCAAAAUCAAAAUCAAGUUCAAAAUCCCGCCCAAAUCGAAACCCUAGUUUCUCAUACAUAAGACGUUCUGGUUCGUUUCGAUCCGAGAUUCGAAUUUGUUCGGGAGUAAGAGAGUAGAUCGAGAUUCACGCCCCUGUUCACUGCACCCACAAGAGGUAAAAUCCUUAUCCUUAUCCCUAUUUCUAUUUUUGUUGUUCGUUACUGUUAAGACGAGUUCCCAUGUAGUAUAAAAUGUAUUUUUUGCAGUUUUGUUGCUUUCCUUUGCUUAAUAUAAUUCUGUGAAUAUGAAUGCAUACGUCGAGUACAAUGCACAUUUGCUGAAGUUGAUCUCUUUUUCCGAAUUUGAAAUGUUUGGCUGAAACUGGAUUUUAGAGUUUAGCGUUGUCUUUUGAAUUCUAUCCGAAACGAUAGAUGAUAAGCUGAAUAAAACAAGAUGGUCAGUCAGUAGUUGUUAUAAUAUGGGGGAUAUCAUUUUACAACUUAAUUAUCAACUAAAUCUUAGCUGAAUAUUGUGUUUGAAUGUGAAGGUAUGUUGAUGUCGUACUAGUAAAUAUUGAGACGAGUUUGGUCUUCCCUUCCACUUUCUUCUGAUGAGAAUUCUAUUUUAGGGAGUUGUAAUGAAUCUAUAAUACUAACUUUUACCAUUCUAAAUAGAGAUGAAAUUAUGUAUUCAUUAAAUACUAGAAAUCCAGUUUCCAUAUUUGUUUAGAUAAAGUUGAGUAUGUCUUGUUCUUCCUUAAGUACAUGACCCUGUUUAGUAGAAUAAUUGGCUCCAUGAGUAAGAUUAUUCUACUCUAAAAAAAGAGCAUGUUUGUGAUGUCUGUUAUGCGCACACAAUACACUAUGUGUUGCUGGUUUAGUUUGCCUCUUGGGCUAAAAAUCGUUCAGCUCAUUGUAGCAAUAUAAUGCCCCUUUAGAUUUUCGAUGAGUUCUGGAAUGUUUGGCAGCAUGUAAGUUUAAAUUUUAAAAGUCGUGUUCAGGCGUCAAAAUUCUUUUUCCAUGUUUGAACUUUGCUGAAUAAGAGACGUGUUUCCUCUCUUUGAAAUAUCGCGUGAAAUACUUGUCGGGAAUUUGCUUUCACGUAUUCUGGAUAUGAUUUUUUAUAUUUAAGCUCAGUUUAAAAAAAUAUGUUUUGAGCAUUUAAGUAAUGUAGUUAAACUAAGGUUAAACCAAAAUCUUAACAAUGUGUUCAUAGGCUAAAUCUUGAAUGUGACAAUCUGUAAUGUUCAAUAUGUCUUUGGAAUUCACCUAAGUUCGUGUUCCAUAUUUACCACUAUGGUUGUUCAGGAGUUUAGAGACUGGGUUACAAAUACUUGCUUUAAUGAUCGAAAAUGAACCAAAAUAUAACUGGAAAAUUUUCUCCAAGUUUGGUAUGUUGAAAUAGUCAGAUAAAGAGGGAGCUGGAUCAGCUGUAUAUUCAUCUAGGUCUUAUUUUAAUUGAACUAGUUUAACACAUAGGAAUUGCAGGGUCUAGGUAUAUUGAAUUUUUCAAACUAGUAUAAACAUCUCAAUGUAGAAUUUCCUUUUAAGUCUGGUAAGUCGAUGCACAAUAUGUACUAGAGCCCGAGAAGUUGGCAAGUUGUAUCAGUUGUGUACUAUUGAUGUUAUCAAGAGAAAGUUUGCCCUCUAGCUGUGUUCAAAUUUAACUUGUUGUGAUCUUACUGCUUGAGCAUUCACUGCCAAAGGGAAAAAGUAUUCAUGGAAGCCAAAGUUUCUGUUUUUUUUUUAAUCUCUUAUUUCCUGUUUCUCUUUGAAUCUUGUUAGAUAUUUUGCGGGUCACAUUCUAAUGAUUUCAUCUCUUCUAUUUAUUUUCCAUAUCCAGAUCUUCUUAUUGUUCUAAUCUUUUCCUUUUUUUUUUUUUUUAAUUUUGUUUCGCAUGUACACCGGAGCCGAAGAGUUUCAUUUGAGACUCAACGACACCACUUACGGAAGCCCGCACAUCAUUCACUAUCUUCUCUCUUACUCUCUUGAGCGGAAAAUUGCAGAACAUUAUCAUCUUGCGAAAGCCAAAAAUGGCGUUUAUCAUUUACGUCACUUUGGCCUACUCCCUAUAGUGUUCAGAAUUUCCUCUGUGACUAAUCCUUUAUUUUGUUUUGUGA